GGGGAUAACACUUGGAAACAGGUGCUAACACCGUAUAACACUAUUUUCCGCAUGGAAGAAAGUUGAAAGGCGCUUUUGCGCCACUGAUGGAUGGACCCGCGGUGCAUUAGCUAGUUGGUGAGGUAACGGCUCACCAAGGCCACGAUGCAUAGCCGACCUGAGAGGGUGAUCGGCCACACUGGGACUGAGACACGGCCCAGACUCCUACGGGAGGCAGCAGUAGGGAAUCUUCGGCAAUGGACGAAAGUCUGACCGAGCAACGCCGCGUGAGUGAAGAAGGUUUUCGGAUCGUAAAACUCUGCUGUUAGAGAAGAACAAGGAUGAGAGUAAAACGUUCAUCCCUUGACGGUAUCUAACCAGAAAGCCACGGCUAACUACGUGCCAGCAGCCGCGGUAAUACGUAGGUGGCAAGCGUUGUCCGGAUUUAUUGGGCGUAAAGCGAGCGCAGGCGGUUUCUUAAGUCUGAUGUGAAAGCCCCCGGCUCAACCGGGGAGGGUCAUUGGAAACUGGGAGACUUGAGUGCAGAAGAGGAGAGUGGAAUUCCAUGUGUAGCGGUGAAAUGCGUAGAUAUAUAGAGGAACACCAGUGGCGAAGGCGGCUCUCUGGUCUGUAACUGACGCUGAGGCUCGAAAGCGUGGGGAGCGAACAGAAUUAGAUACCCU
rnacentral:rRNA from 1 species